GACGAACGCUGGCGGCGUGCUUAACACAUGCAAGUCGAACGGAAAGGCCCUGCUUUUGUGGGGUGCUCGAGUGGCGAACGGGUGAGUAACACGUGAGUAACCUGCCCUUGACUUUGGGAUAACUUCAGGAAACUGGGGCUAAUACCGGAUAGGAGCUCCUGCUGCAUGGUGGGGGUUGGAAAGUUUCGGCGGUUGGGGAUGGACUCGCGGCUUAUCAGCUUGUUGGUGGGGUAGUGGCUUACCAAGGCUUUGACGGGUAGCCGGCCUGAGAGGGUGACCGGCAGCAUGGGGACUGAGAUACGGCCCAGACGACGACGGGAGGCAGCAGUGGGGAAUAUGGCACAAUGGGCGGAAGCAGGAGGCAGCAGCGCCGGGUGCGGGAGGACGGCCUGCGGGGUGGAAACCGCUUUCGCGGGGGACGAAGCGUGAGGGACGGUAAUGGGUAAAGAAGCAACGGCGAACGACGUG
rnacentral:rRNA from 1 species